AGGUGGUCCUUUGUCGCAAGAACUACCCAAUCACGGAUAAAGUGCUUAGUAUGAAACACUCUGCUCAAAUAGAGAUGAGGCUGACUGAUAAAAUUCUACCUUACUGAGAGUUUGAAUGUGAGAAAUAUACAGAAUUAACAUUUGGCUGUGGGGACAGAUGCAAAAGGAGACCUGAGGCUGAAUCCUCCAGAAGCAUGUUCAAGGUGCACUCCCAGGAUGCUCUCCAGGAUUCUCCUGUGCAUAGCCUGGUCUUCAGCAUGGUCUGUCCUUCGCCUGGAGAAGAGAAUGACGUCCAUAAACACUGCCCUGGGAGCCUUUCACAUUUUUGCCUUAAGUGGCUAAUUGGCUGAACUGAGCCUGUUAUUUUCUCUCUUCAGUGCAUCAAUACCACUCAACAAUAACCAAAUAAAUCCCCCAGGCCUUAUAAUUACUAUUUCCUGCUUAUCUCACAAAUGCCAAAGAUAGCACAGAGGCUAUUGUAUUACUUUGACAUGUAACUCAUUCCAAGUCACCACAGGUGAGGUCCUUGGUAAUUACCAUGCUGUGGUGUGCCAGAAUUAACCCAGAGAUGGAGUCCUGGUUGCCAUCAAGCAGGAGGCUGAUCCAACUUCAGCAUCACAUCCCAGCACUGCUGGCUCCUCUUUCUCUGCCCCACUGUUAAUUUUGGUGGGCUGGGAGUGAAUAGAUGGUGAGAAACUAGAGCCAGCAUGGUCUUGAAAGGAAGAGAAGGAGGGCAGUGGGUAGAAGGCAAAUAAGAAGCAGGGCCUGGAAGAGAACUGAUUAGGUUUAUUGGAGAGAGAAAACAGCCAGGGGAGAAAAAAGGGAGAAGACCCAAGACACUGAGUUGGUGAGAGUAGAUGGAAUGCAAAAAUCCAUUGGAGAGCUUCUUCUCAUGAGAUGGGAGUGAGGAAUGGGAAGAAAUACCUACAGAUAAGAUUGUCAAUGGCAAUAAUACAGAGAAUUGAGCCCUUACUGUAUGCUUGCCACAGUUCUAAAUGCUUGGACGGAAACUAGUUUUAA
rnacentral:lncRNA from 1 species